CCAGAAGGCUUCCCUUUGGAGUCAGAUACACUUCUUUGUGUCGUUAGAACAGAACAGGGGGGUACAUUUUCCUUCUUUGAGCUAUUAGUUUUGUAAAUCAUUCCAAACAGCCUCUCCCCUGGGUCACUCCACCUUCCCCAGCAGCAGCUGGUGGUGGAGCACCCUUUUAGCUGAUGAGAAGCCCUCAAUCACUGCCAGCUGCACACUGCCCCUGAACUCCAUCCUGCAACUCCCACCUUCCCAGCAGAUGUUACACAGCCAUACUUUAGUGAGCUAUCAAUUAAGGGAAUGCAGUUACCCUAAGGUAUAUCUGAGGAAGAUCCUACCUCUAGGCCACUUCCUUAGUUCUGUACCAUGCAUUUUUAUGAAGCUUGCAACCUGAAUGUUUCUUGAGUUGCAGGCACUGAACCUGCAUGCAUUCUCCUGUGCCCAGGCCCUGACUCCUCAGCAGGCACAGGGGGUGAGCCCAGCUCCCUACAGCAGCCCCAUGCAGGAUGCCGGGAGAGAAGUGGCCAUCAAAUGCUCUUGGAGAGCAACUGGAGCUCAAAGAGGUGGAAGAUCACCUGUGCUCACUCUGUGGUGUGUGGAAGGGCUUCAGGCACAGCAGGGUUGGUCCUCUGUGUGUGCAUGAAAUACAAAGUGUGCCUGCAGUCCAAGCACCUCCUUCUGAGCCCCCACACCAAGUGCAGAUGGAUUGGUUCUUUGGCCACUCACCUUACCUCCAAGUCCUCCUGUGUAGCCACUUCAUGUGCAAUGAAAUGAUGGCUGUGAUGCCAAUGCACAGACGAGGAGCUUUCGCUGCUGGUUUGCAGGGCCAAGGCUUUUGAAGUACAGCUAAAGGCAUCAAAGCAAAAUAAGGCAACGACAAGAGAGCUUGGGGGACUGGUAAUGGGACACCCAGCUUUUCAUGUUUGGGACUGAAGUCUCUGUUGAAAGUGAUUUUGUACUUGUUAAGUCUUGUGGAUGUGGGACUGCAGUCCAUUCCUAGAAAUCUAGUGGGACUAAUGCAUAACAGCUUUGUUCAGCAAACUCAGGAAGCCCUGAAGCUGUCCCAUGUGCCCUCACCAGCCUGUUACUGAAAGGAGCCUAUGCUGGCAUGGCCAUUCUGCGAUUGUCAUCCAACAAGCAAGCGCCACAGCACGUAGUGCACUGAGUUCCUCCUGUUCCGUGGGUGCUUUUGUAUUGGAAAUUUUUAUUUUCUGUGCUAAGAAACACUGGGCCAGGCUGGCAGCACUGGAGACAGUUAGAAGAAACAAGUGGCCUGUCCUUGGAGCAAGGAAAGUCUUAAUUUUUGCUUGAGCAAUGCAGGGAAAUACCAGAAGUAGGCAUGUCGAAGAGAUCUACUUAUCCUUUAAUUGCUGCUUUAUGUACCACUCAUAGCAGUGUGGUCAGCAAUAUUCUUCAUUCAUAAUUGCAGCUGUGCAUCUUACGACUCUUCAAGCUGACAUUUCUUGCAGGCAAUGGGGUGAACCAGAAAGGGAGAUCUGCUACACUGCCCCGGAAGUUUGUAGUGAUGUCAGUAUUGGGCAACAAGGAACAAACAACAACCAUCGUUACAAAGCCUCCAUAAAGGAAAUGGAAUGGGCUGAACUACUCCCUCUGUAUUGGUAUUUAUGCAGGAUGUGAAUCAACCAGCAUACAAGCCAAUAGUGCAUGAUCAAAGGGUGAAUACUAAUGAUAAUAAGUUAUAUAAUAUCCCUUUCAUACCAGUAGGAGUAUUACAUCCAUACCCUUCCCACGUGCCUGUGUGAUGGCAUCAAGAAUUUUCUUUUCUAGCAAGGCAGAAAUAAGAAUUGCCUAAGCAACCUAUGCUUUGCAUUCUCUCUUCCUAGAAAAUAUUCAAUGAACAAAACUGACAGGGAUCUUUUUAUUCAGGUGAUUUUCAGAUACACUUUUAACCCUAUCUUACAUGCUUGAGUUAUUAUGGCUGGAAAAAAUGAUCUAUUUAAUAGACCAUUGCAGGAGUUGCUAAAAUUGAAACUUGGAGAGAUGGGGACAGAUAUUCCUCUGGCACAGCUCAGGCAGGGGCUGAAUACUCAGUGCUGAGCUGAAGUUCCUGGGCCAAUGGGGAUGACCCUGGUGAGUGCAAAAUGUGUGUAAAUGCAGUGCUAGAUUCAUGUGUACCUAAUAACUUUUGCUGAGAUGUGAAUUUGGGCAUUUCACUAAGCAGUAAGUUCUGGAGGAAUAAUGAGCUUACUGGUCCACUUGGGUGCUUUGUGGAGCUGAACAAAGUAUUUGCUUUGGUCUCUGACUCUUCCAUGAGGAAAACCAGCCUAUUGCUUUUGUGACUUCCACGUGUCUGUCAAGCAAAAAUAACUUUCUCAUUUGGGAUGUAAAGAUAUGCUAUUACAGAUGGGGUGCUUAUUAUUAUCAAAGUCUCUGAUGGAGGUGGGUUCUCCUUCAUUUGCACUCAGAUAUCCAAUAUCUCAGAGGUACAGCUCCAACACUGUGAAUUUGAUGUGGAGUAUCUUUGACCUGUUUUAAUGCUAUUUCCAUCCUAAAUAUCAUUUUAAAAUCUACAGACAUACUUUUUGUGUUGUCUGCAGUUCUUCCCUUUCCAGGAAACACCUUUAAUUUAAAUAGGAAAAAGUCUGGGUAAUAAAACAAAGCAAAACGCAGUAGUGAGGAAGGUGGCCCCCAGCUGUGAUAGCUCAAAGUAUUGAUUUUUCCUUUCUUCUCUCAGAAAUUAAAGGAGUCAGCCUGGUUUCAGCUCAGCUGCUACAAGCUGAUUUUAACAAUUUCCCAAGCUUGAUUUCAUUAAUUUACCAUCCUUACUGCUGUACAUAUCCAACUGUGCACUUGUAUAGAGAGAAGUUCAGCUGCCUAUGUUGUGCUCCUGGCUGACAGCUUGGGAGCACCUGCACUAGCCUGGCCUCAGCACAUCCUGGGUGGAUGGAGUUGUCCUGUGUCUGGCAGCUCAGGCUGAGCGUUUCAGAGCCAUUGCUGCUCCUGCUGGAGGCUCCACAGUGUUUGUGCUGCACGCUGAGCCAGCCAGCUUGUAGGAUGGAGUGGUGAGUUUUCCCCUGGGGAAACUUUCCUGCCAUUUCAUUUGGAAAAUAAUAAAAAGGAAGCAUGAAGCUUCUCCGUAGUGGUGAAUUCAGAAAAGGGGGGAAUGACUGCAGUGUUCUGUUAAAUGCACGCUGCCACGAGGGAAAGGAUGCUGCUGCUGCUGAAUUUGGGGUGGAUUAAAACUCCCUUGCAGUAUAGGACAGAGUAUUCUCAUUUGGUGCUUGGAGUUUAUCCAGAACAGAAAUUCAGAUCAGACCAUUGCUCUAACAAUUGCUAGAUCCUGUCUUCUCAUCUCUGUACAAAAAAAACAAAGUAGAUUUUUGUCUCCAGCCUGACUCUCGUUUCUGCUCUUGGCUGAGCACUCAUUUCAGGUAAACGCUGCAGGACAAGUUUGUUCUAUUGUUGAAACUGUAGAAGUCCAGGGAUAGAUUUUUGUGGGACUUUUUCUUCAUUGCAGGCUUCAGAGUUUACGCAAAGGCCAGCUUGCUGUUUCUUUCAGUCAUGAAAAUAUCUUAAAUAAGGUCUUUUAUAGCCUCAUCAUCUUUAUUCGUUGUUGGGCUUUUAAAAUACAUUUCAGGAUUUAUUAGCCAUGUAUAUGGAAAACACCCCAAAUCUGAUAAUCUACGGUUAAAUUGAUUACACUUUACAAGGCUUUGUGACGUUUUAAGUACUUCAUUGAAGCUACAGCUGUAAUAAGAUUAUUACUAGGUUAUUGGCAUUAAACGUAAUAAUAGCCACAAGGAUUUAAGUUGAUGCAUGGGUUGGAAAUGGGAUAAAAUGUAUCAUUGAUUAUGCUGGUAUUUACUCCUAGCUCCUCUGGCACUCUGCCCAGUUGAAGUGGGGAAGUUCUGAUCUUCCUGAUAAGAAGCUGAGCUUCCAACCAUUGUGCAGCAGCAGAAUCAGGCUCAUGGGAAUAGCCCAACACGGUGAAAUCAAAAUAUCCUUUGGGUAAGCAGAUAGAAAUAUAGCAUUAAUUUCUUCAGAUUGUUUCCCAAAUGACCAAGUAGUCACGGGGAACUGGGCGUUUUCCUCAAGUGAUUUUCCAGGUUUGUUCUUUGAAAUGUGUUAACGUGUCCCCAUUCCCCCAGAAGAGCUACCUGGAUUGAAUGGUCUAAAGCCUCUCGGAUCAGCAAGAAGUUAGCAAGUAGAGAUGGGAAAUUGAAUCCUGUCACUAACUUUGAACAGGCAGUGUAAGAUGGCUGGGAUAAAUGAGAAGGCUUAAGGGAAGUAUGGUUCUUGAAGGACUUUAUUACUUACAGUCUGUAGUAGUGAUUUUGAUUAAUAGCUCUCUAAUAUUGGAAGCACUGUAUCCAAAUCAAAGGGAGCUCCCUGUGCUGCAGCUAUGCAAGGCCCCUGGAGCUCAGUCUAAGGAACACAAUGAUAAGAUAAUUCAUGUGCAUGUUAAAAAAAAUGGAAUGGCAGAAGUGGAAAAGAGGGCAAAGGUGUUAAAAAUGCCAUUAUCUGUUCUAUCUGUUUCAGUUAGGAUCAGCUGUAGCGUGUGCUGUGUUCAGAGACCUGUUAGUCCAAGUGCCUCUGAGUGGAGCUGAGUCUGAGCUGUUGAAAAUUGCUGCAUGUGAUGCAGAUUGCACCAGUUCUUUGUGUGCUGUGGCAUGAUUUCCUUCACCCAGACAGACCAUCUGAGGCUGAGAGGUUAUCUGGCUGCUUAUGCUGUACAGACUGUAGCUUUGCCAUCUACACUUGCUUCCUCACUCUGAAAAAUCAGCUAGUUAGCUGGCAUUGGAUGUGAAUUUCCCAUUCGUGCCAGCUGGUGCAGUGCCCCAGCUGACAUCCCGCUCUAAAUGAGGUCUAUGAAGGUGGAUACAGCAAUUGAAUUUCUGUCAUUUGUUCAGAUCUUUGGGUGCAUAAAUUGAUAGGCUGUAGCCUCUAUGACCCUGUACUGAAGAUGACCACUCUCUUUACAGCAUCUCAGCAGGACUUUGUGACGACAUUAUCCGCUUUCAGAGCAGAGGUUGGGGAGGGCUGUGCUCCUGAAGCGUCACACAAGCCACAUCCAGCUCUACUUUCCCUGGAUGCAGCCAGCCCAACUCCUGUGAGAUAAUGAGCCAAAUUCUGUUCUCAGUGAUAUUUGUGGAGUUGUCCCAUAUUUGUCCUGAAUAAAUCAGAAUCAGUCUUACCAUGCUCAGGAAAGCCAACGAGGUUUUGGUCCCCAUUAAGUCAGUGGGAAUUUUGCCACUGACUGCUGCAGGCCUGGGUUUCAUUUACAAAUAAUGACUUUCAAUUUAAUUUUACUACUUUCUACUGGAGAAGGCAAUGCAGUCCCAAACCUGAAGUAAACACCUGGUGCCAUCUAAAGCAGCUCCCAGCUAAAGGUGCAUUGUGUUUCCCAUAAAGGCUGCUGCAGUAUUUAGUUGGCCAGGAUGUUUUCCUUUCAUGCUAAAUCAACGGCUCUAAUUAAGCAUGAUGACAAAAUAUGAGGACUUCUAUGUAAUUAUGGCAACGACACCACCUGCUUCUAAUUAAGCUGCCAAAACAUUUGGUCUAAAAUGGUGCAAUGAAUAAAGAAAAAAAAAAUCCAAUAUUUUGGCAAUGCAACAACAGGCUGGUUUUCCUCACGUAAUUAGUUUUAACAAAGUAUUGCUAAUCUGUUUUCUGAUUAAUAGACUACUUAAUCUUAUAGCAGCGUGACAAGAUUCUGAGCUGCCUCUGGUUUAAGUUUCCACCAAAACAGCUAACAUUUCUAGCAGUUUUAAGAAUAUACUUAUAUGAGAAACAAUAUAGUUUCUUAUUAUUUUCAUUAUUCUUCAUGAGACCCCCAAAGGUUACUUUCUUUGAAUUCACUGAACUUUAAAGGCUUUUAUUAAAUUGGAAGCCACAGGAGAAGCUGAUUUUAUUUUUUUUUCCUCUUCCUCAUUCCUUGUAUGGAGAAGUCAGUGGUACGAGUAACUGGGGGGAGAGAUGCCCUGAAAGCUUACAGGCUCUGCACGUUCUACAGUGGCUGGUUGGUUGGCAUAAAGUGUCAGCUCUGUGGGCUGCUGCGAUGCCCUGGGGUGUUCAGUGGCUGAUGGUGUCCCCUAGAAAUGCUUCUUAGGUUGGAAUUACUGACAAUGAGGAGAGGAAUAUAAUGCGUAACAACAGCAAAGCAGCCCAAACGCUUUUUCAGGACUCGUGUGGCCAUUUGGGUUUCAGAGCUGUUAAUGUAACCUGGCAUGUUAAAUCAGACAUGAUCAACACUGUAAAAGAGCCAAGCAUACCAACAGUACAGAUGGGUGGUAGAUAAGGAAAGAAGCCGCGACUGAGCAGUGUAGAACUGCGGAUCAAACCACACUGAUGUAUAGGACUUACAUUUCCAAAAAUCAUCAUUUGAAUACCAGGAUGAAAGCAGGUAGCUGUGCAGUCGCUGUAGGUGCUAAUUCUUUAAGAACAAGUUGUUAGCCACUUUCUUGUGUCUUGACCUGGCUGCCUUAGAUUUUCUUUGAGCACGAUUUUCCACUGCCUUGCGCCCUUGUGGUGACUCCAUAAAUAGGUGUGAACAGUUUCUGCCAGCCGCGGUGCUCUGUGUCUGUCCUUCUGUUCUGCCAAGUCUCUCUCCCAUAGCACUGUCUGGGCUGGAUUAUCUAUUCCCAUUCCAGCUGGAAAGUCUUGUCUAUCUUCAAAAUUCAGACGAGUUUCAAGAAAGUCCAAGAAAUUGGCAGCUCUCAGCUCUUAUUAAAGGUGACUGUUAAUUCAAAGAGUAUAUUUCAAUUUUCUCAGCCUGAAGUGAUGAUAAUGGCAGCGUUCUUCUAUCUGCUGUUCUUCUGUUUAUAGUGCUGGGAUGGUGGUGAGAUUUUGGCAUUUGAGAAGUGGCUUCUUGGCACAGCUCCGUGCUGUGGUGGCCCAUAUACAGCCACAUGAAUGAUGUACCCUCUGCUGGUCGGGCAACCCUUAUAUCUGCAUGUUCACAUGCCCUUCAGCAUCAGGUGCAGAAGUCCAUCUUUUAUCUCCAGAUUCCCUUAGUGCAAGCAGGAAGUCAGUUGGUUAUGGAGUGAAGCUUAACAGAUUUGCCAAAUAAAAACGUCACUGAUGUUUUGUACCAUGGUUGUACCAUGACCUGCUGGGAGAGAGUCAGCAGUGUAAGCACAGUCUUGAAAUUCCACCUCCUAGCACCACUUGAGACGUGCAGUCCUAAAGAUAACACGUGCUUUCUGUACAGCUGCAUGAUAAGAAGAAAAGAGGAAGAUCAGAGGUCUUGUUUCAUGCUGAUAGAGAGUGUGGAUCCAAACCCCAGUGCGAUGAGUGCCCCACACAUCUGCUGGAGCUCCAGCCAACAAGACAAGCCAGAAUCCCUAUCAGCUCCCAGAUCUCAUCCAAACCCAGCCCUGCCACUCCAUGACAGCAGCAACAAACCUUUGGUGACCUCACCCUGCUUAUGCAUCAGAGUGGCAGAUGAAAUGCUUAUGAUGUAGUUUUUU